AUGGCGGAACUCAGCCUCCUCCCGGCUGUUUUUGCUCGCCGCACCUCCUACACCGGGAUCCCGUGGGUCGCCAUCGCCGCAUCGACCGUUGUCAUGAUCACCGUCUCCUUCCUUGGCUUCGAUUAUGUCGCCAACUUCCUAUAUAGCUUGGGCACGUUGCUCGACUUCACCUCCUUCUGGCUCCGUGCCAAGCACCUGAUGCUGAAGCGCCCCUACCAUGUGCCACUAUUGCUGUGUGUGCUUGUGGCCAUGUGUGCCGUGCCGUCGGCUUUCCUGGCCUAUGUCUGUGUGGUGGCCGGGUGGAGGGCGUUCGGCGUUGCUGCUGGGCUGUCAGCGCUCGGUGUCGGUUGGAAUGGCGUCAUGAGGUUGUGCAGGGCCAAAAAGUUGCUCAAGUUCAACAACGCGGUUGUUGCUGUCCAUCGAGAGGGUGUUGAAGAGAAUUGCAACGUGGGUAACUAG
rnacentral:rRNA from 1 species